AUGAAAUGUAACAUAACUGUGGUUGGUGAUGAAGGGGAUGAAGGGGACAACGAGGCUACUGCCACGGUUCGGAAACCAGAUGGUGAAGGCAAAGGGUGCAGACUUAAGCGGGCUGCGACACCAUUGUUGAGUCCAUUCACCGAUCCCUCCAGGAAAAAGAGGAAGGUUACUGAUUUGCAUGCACAGACACCUCAGCCCCGUUUUGAUCCAACAAAACCCGUGGCCAUGGACGAUGUGAAGGCUAUCAUACAACUUUGCAGGGCUUGGAAAACUGACAUCAGUGCGGAGCUGGAGCUCGAACCAUUUGAAGUUGGGGCAGAUUUUUUUUUACAAACUGUUAGAUGAAACUGCAUGGAUGAGCUCGAGGCACCUUGACAUGGCCAUGUUUCUAAUACGCAAAAGACAACUCUCUCAUCCGCAACUAUUUGGAAGGGAGUGGACAACCGCCGAGUUUUGUCUGCAGCAAUUUUUACAGCCGUUUGCAAUGCCAAGUGGGAAACGAGUCACGAGGAAACGAGUC